rnacentral:rRNA from 1 species
GACGAACGCUGGCGGCGUGCUUAACACAUGCAAGUCGAACGGAAAGGCCCUGCUUUUGUGGGGUGCUCGAGUGGCGAACGGGUGAGUAACACGUGAGUAACCUGCCCUUGACUUUGGGAUAACUUCAGGAAACUGGGGCUAAUACCGGAUAGGAGCUCCUGCUGCAUGGUGGGGGUUGGAAAGUUUCGGCGGUUGGGGAUGGACUCGCGGCUUAUCAGCUUGUUGGUGGGGUAGUGGCUUACCAAGGCUUUAACGGGUAGCCGGCCUGAGAGGGUGACCGGCCACAUUGGGACUGAGAUACGGCCCAGACUCCUACGGGAGGCAGCAGUGGGGAAUAUUGCACAAUGGGCGGAAGCCUGAUGCAGCAACGCCGCGUGCGGGAUGACGGCCUUCGGGUUGUAACCCGCUUUCGCCUGUGACGAAGCGUGAGUGACGGUAAUGGGUAAAGAAGCACCGGCUAACUACGUG